GGUACAGAAGAGAAUAAGAAGCAAGCCUUGUCCUGUUAAGCCACCGAAACCGGGGGCCUUUGUUACCAGCUGUGUUUCAUGGUUGGCUAACAAUGAACCUGAAGAAACUCCAACUCAGAAGUCCACGUACCAGCAUUUCGGGGAGACAGGGCUCAGUCUGCACCCACUCUCCUGUGCAUUUCAGUGUCACAGCCCAUUGGUCCAGACCACAGCGUCACAGCCCAUUGGUCCAGGCCAGACAUGUGGUCCCGCCUCCCCGCAGACUUAGUCCGCCUGCCUUAUGGAACAGAGAAGAAAAUUCCAAAGCUGAGACAUAUAAAGACCAAGAUGCAACCCCAGAAGAGUCUAGACUUUCUUGACACUGAAAAGC
rnacentral:lncRNA from 1 species